UGUGGCUUAAUGGAAGCAUGGAAGACAAUGCUAAGGGUAAUUUGAACUAUGGGGGCCCAGAUCAAGAAAUU